AGUAGAAUGGCUGAGAUAAUAUAAGGUUAUAGAUUGUAAAUCUAUUUAGGGGUAAUUUCCCUUCUACUA
rnacentral:tRNA from 1 species